GGGACACGUGGUAUCCUGUCUGAAUAUGGGGGGACCAUCCUCCAAGGCUAAAUACUCCUGACUGACCGAUAGUGAACCAGUACCGUGAGGGAAAGGCGAAAAGAACCCCGGCGAGGGGAGUGAAAAAGAACCUGAAACCGUGUACGUACAAGCAGUGGGAGCACGCUUAGGCGUGUGACUGCGUACCUUUUGUAUAAUGGGUCAGCGACUUAUAUUCUGUAGCAAGGUUAACCGAAUAGGGGAGCCGAAGGGAAACCGAGUCUUAACUGGGCGUUAAGUUGCAGGGUAUAGACCCGAAACCCGGUGAUCUAGCCAUGGGCAGGUUGAAGGUUGGGUAACACUAACUGGAGGACCGAACCGACUAAUGUUGAAAAAUUAGCGGAUGACUUGUGGCUGGGGGUGAAAGGCCAAUCAAACCGGGAGAUAGCUGGUUCUCCCCGAAAGCUAUUUAGGUAGCGCCUCGUGAAUUCAUCUCCGGGGGUAGAGCACUGUUUCGGCAAGGGGGUCAUCCCGACUUACCAACCCGAUGCAAACUGCGAAUACCGGAGAAUGUUAUCACGGGAGACACACGGCGGGUGCUAACGUCCGUCGUGAAGAGGGAAACAACCCAGACCGCCAGCUAAGGUCCCAAAGUCAUGGUUAAGUGGGAAACGAUGUGGGAAGGCCCAGACAGCCAGGAUGUUGGCUUAGAAGCAGCCAUCAUUUAAAGAAAGCGUAAUAGCUCACUGGUCGAGUCGGCCUGCGCGGAAGAUGUAACGGGGCUAAACCAUGCACCGAAGCUGCGGCAGCGACACUAUGUGUUGUUGGGUAGGGGAGCGUUCUGUAAGCCUGUGAAGGUGUGCUGUGAGGCAUGCUGGAGGUAUCAGAAGUGCGAAUGCUGACAUAAGUAACGAUAAAGCGGGUGAAAAGCCCGCUCGCCGGAAGACCAAGGGUUCCUGUCCAACGUUAAUCGGGGCAGGGUGAGUCGACCCCUAAGGCGAGGCCGAAAGGCGUAGUCGAUGGGAAACAGGUUAAUAUUCCUGUACUUGGUGUUA
rnacentral:rRNA from 1 species